rnacentral:rRNA from 1 species
AUUGAACGCUGGCGGCAGGCCUAACACAUGCAAGUCGAACGGCAGCACAGAAGAGCUUGCUCUUUGGGUGGCGAGUGGCGGACGGGUGAGUAAUGUCUGGGAAACUGCCCGAUGGAGGGGGAUAACUACUGGAAACGGUAGCUAAUACCGCAUAACGUCGCAAGACCAAAGUGGGGGACCUUCGGGCCUCACACCAUCGGAUGUGCCCAGAUGGGAUUAGCUAGUAGGUGGGGUAAUGGCUCACCUAGGCGACGAUCCCUAGCUGGUCUGCGAGGAUGACCAGCAACACUGGAACUGAGACACGGUCCAGACUCCUACGGGAGGCAGCAGUGGGGAAUAUUGGACAAUGGGCGCAAGCCUGAUGCAGCCAUGCCGCGUGUAUGAAGAAGGCCGUCGGGUUGUAAAGUACUUUCAGCGGGGAGGAAGGCGGUGAGGUUAAUAACCUUGCCGAUUGACGUUACCCGCAGAAGAAGCACCGGCUAACUCCGUGCCAGCCGCCGCAGUAACAC